GGAUGUGACAGUUAUCUGGCUGUGACAUCUGUGACCUCCUUGAUCACCAGAGUUGACUCGGCUGAUCUGGCUGGCUAGAUGGGUCACCUUUUCCUCCCUUACCACUCCAUGUGUGUCCCUCUCAAAGCUGCAUGCUCAAAGAAGAUGGCCUUCCCUGAAUAGAGGAGACUGACUUUUGGUCAAGGGUAUAUGAGUAGCUGUGCUCCCCUGCUAGAACCUGAAAACACGCUCUCACAACAUCCAGCAUAAUGCCUGGUACAUAGUAGGGGCUCAAGAAAAUUUAAUUCAGUCAGACUUAGUAGUGCAGACCUAUUAUU
rnacentral:snRNA from 1 species